GGCAGUUCUCGGGUGACGCACCCGGGAAUCGGGCUCCCUCCUCUCUGGUUCCGGCUGCAUAACCAGAGAACCGCA
rfam:Myotis davidii contig4832, whole genome shotgun sequence.